rnacentral:rRNA from 1 species
GACGAACGCUGGCGGCGUGCCUAAUACAUGCAAGUAGAACGCUGAAGGAGGAGCUUGCUCUUCUGGAUGAGUUGCGAACGGGUGAGUAACGCGUAGGUAACCUGCCUGGUAGCGGGGGAUAACUAUUGGAAACGAUAGCUAAUACCGCAUAAGAGUAGAUGUUGCAUGACAUUUACUUAAAAGGUGCAAUUGCAUCACUACCAGAUGGACCUGCGUUGUAUUAGCUAGUUGGUGGGGUAACGGCUUACCAAGGCGACGAUACAUAGCCGACCUGAGAGGGUGAUCGGCCACACUGGGACUGAGACACGGCCCAGACUCCUACGGGAGGCAGCAGUAGGGAAUCUUCGGCAAUGGACGGAAGUCUGACCGAGCAACGCCGCGUGAGUGAAGAAGGUUUUCGGAUCGUAAAGUUCUGUUGUAAGAGAAGAACGAGUGUGAGAGUGGAAAGUUCACACUGUGACGGUAUCUUACCAGAAAGGGACGGCUAACUACGUG